CCACAUACUGUUAUCUCGGCUGGUGGAAUCUGAAACGCCUUUGGAAGUCGAAGAUAGAACUCAAGACGCAACUUUUCCAUUGUCUCGGGGUUUGAUUGAAUGAUUCUUUUGUGUGACACACCAUCAUCUAGCUUCAAACGGAAGAGUAGUGAUCAACUAAACACUGAUUUGAGGGACC